rnacentral:lncRNA from 1 species
GGGUGCAAGAAAAAAAAAAGAAAAGAAAAGAAAGGAAAAGAAAAGAAAAGAAAAGGUAAUGAGAGAGAGGGGAGUGGAGAAAGUAGGUAGGCUCCACCAAUACUCCAACUCCUCUUAGGGGCCGUUUGGUUGGAUGUAGUUGUAGAAACAGUGUAGUUGGAAAUACAUGCAGUUGCAAAUGCUGCAGUUAUAACUACACCUAGUCUGUUUGGUUUUACGCAGUUGCAACUGCUGCAGUUACAUUUCUUCUGUUUGAUAAUAUGAAGCUGAUAGUUGUAUUUAUGAAUUUUGUCACCUCUUCAAAUAGAGUGGUGAGGUUACCUUCACUAAACAUAAAAUAAUUGUAUAAAUUUAUUAAUUAUUUAAAUUUACUAUUUAUAAAUAAAUAAGUAGAUAUAUAUAAUAUUUUUAUAUUUUUCAAUAAUUCUUCAACUUAUUAAUCGACACAUUUAAAAUUUUUAAUUUAUUUAAUUUUAAUAUGUAAAUCAAACUUUAAAAAUUUAAGCGAUUCUCUCAUUUUUUUUUAUCAAUUUUAAUAAUUAUAAUUAAUUAAAACUUAUUAAAUUAACAUACACGAUCACAUUCUAUAAAAAUUUAGAAAAAAAAACUAUAUUUAUAUUUUAAAUAAAAUAAAUUUAAAAAAAUUAAUUUUUUGCACAAAGCUUGUAUUGUCUAAAAAAUUUUAUUAGUAUGAGUUUAUUUAUAAGUAUUUUUAUUUACCUAUAUACAUAUAUUAUUUAUUUAUUUAGCUAUUUAUUUAUUUAUUUAUUAUUAUUAAUUUGUGGGUGAUCCUAUCCCUGACCAACUGCUGUAGUUGGAACUACGACCAAUUUGGAUGUAGUUCCAACUGCAGCAUUUGGGCCUUCUUGUGCAGUUGGAACUGCAGCAGUUGAACUCAACUGCACUAAACCAAACAAAAGAAUUGUGGCUGCACGCAUUUGCAACUGCACUGCAGUUGCAAAUGCGUACAACCAAACAGCCCCUUAAUAAUCUUCUACUAAAUGGCUUUUUAAGUAAAUUUUCAAUCCACACAAUACAGCAGUUGUGAUGCAGCUUUGAAAAGAUAACUAAAUAAGUAAACAGAAACAUCUUUCUCCUAGUAUAAAUAAGGGUUAAUUGCAUACAGCUCCCUGCAAACAGAUUAAAUUAUAAAUAUAUCCAUAUAAAAUUCAACUUUCGUAAGUUAUCCGCACAAAAUCCCUAAUAUUUUCAGAUAUUUCCCUAUGGUUUGUUACCAUUAGAGAAUCGUUAGAAAAUUAUUUAUAUUUUCAAUUUUGCCAUCACAAAUAUAUCUCUCCAAAGUUAUAAUAGCAUAAUAUAAAAGAGGUAAAAAUGUCAAAAAUUAACCAGGAUAAAAUAUUUAACCUAUGAUUAACUAAACUUUUCUAACGGAUUCUAACGACAGGAAUAUAUCUGAAAACAUUAAAACUUUUGCAGGAAUAACUUAUAAAAGUUGAACUUUAUAGGAAUAUAUAUUUGCAAUUCACUAUAUUUGCGG